AGCAGCCGCGGUAAUUCCAGCUCCAAUAGCGUAUAUUAAAGUUGUUGCAGUUAAAAAGCUCGUAGUUGAAUUUCGGGGGUCAGUAGGUUGGUCAUGCCUCCGGUAUGCACUGGUCUCACUGAUUCCUCCUUCCUGAUGAGCCGUAAUGCCAUUAAUUUGGUGUUGCGGGGAAUCUGGACUGUUACUUUGAAAAAAUUAGAGUGUUUAAAGCAAGCUAACGCUUGAAUACAUUAGCAUGGAAUAAUGGAAUAGGACGUUCGAUCCUAUUUUGUUGGUUUCUAGGAUUGACGUAAUGAUUAAUAGGGAUAGUUGGGGGCAUUAGUAUUCAAUUGUCAGAGGUGAAAUUCUUGGAUUUAUUGAAGACUAACUACUGCGAAAGCAUUUGCCAAGGAUGUUUUCAUUAAUCAAGAACGAAAAGUUAGGGGAUCGAAGACGAUCAGAUACCGUCGUAGUCUUAACCAUAAACUAUGCCGACUAGGGAUCGGAUGAUGUUAAUUUUUUAAUGACUCAUUCGGACCG
rnacentral:rRNA from 1 species